AAGUAGCAAUACUUAGUGGCGAACGGGUGAGCAUAAUGUGGGUAUCUGCCCUCUGGUUUGGAAUAACACGAGGAAACUUGUGCUAAUACCGGAUAAGCCUUCACAGGGAAAGCUUUAGCGCCAAAGGAUGAGCCCGCACUUGAUUAGCUAGUUGGUAAGGUAAUGGCUUACCAAGGCUACGAUCAAUAGCUGAUCUGAGAGGAUGAUCAGCCACAUUGGGACUGAGACACGGCCCAAACUUCUACGGAAGGCAGCAGUGGGGAGUCUUGCACAAUGGGGGAAACCCUGAUGCAGCGAUGCCGCGUGAGUGAAGAAGGCCCUUGGGUUGUAAAGCUCUUUCGUCGGGGAAGAAAAUGACUGUACCCGAAUAAGAAGGUCCGGCUAACUUCGUGCCAGCAGCCGCGGUAAUACGAAGGGACCUAGCGUAGUUCGGAAUUACUGGGCUUAAAGAGCACGUAGGUGGUUAAGAAAGUUGGUGGUGAAAUCCCAAGGCUUAACCUUGGAACUGCCACCAAAACUUUUUAACUAGAGUAUGAUUGAGGUAAGCGGAUUUUCUAGUGUAGAGGUGAAAUUCGUAGAUAUUAGAAAGAACACCAAUUGCGAAGGCAGCUUUCUGGAUCAUUACUGACACUGAGGUGCGAAAGCAUGGGUAGCGAAGAGGAUUAGAUACCCUCGUAGUCCAUGCCGUAAACGAUGUGUGCUAGACGUUGGGAAUUUAUUUUUCAGUGUCGCAGCUAAAGCGAUAAGCACACCGCCUGGGGAGUACGA
rnacentral:rRNA from 1 species